rnacentral:rRNA from 1 species
CAGUCGAGCGAAGCACUUUGCUUAGAUUCUUCGGAUGAAGAGGAUUGUGACUGAGCGGCGGACGGGUGAGUAACGCGUGGGUAACCUGCCUCAUACAGGGGGAUAACAGUUAGAAAUGACUGCUAAUACCGCAUAAGACCACAGCACCGCAUGGUGCGGGGGUAAAAACUCCGGUGGUAUGAGAUGGACCCGCGUCUGAUUAGCUAGUUGGUAAGGUAACGGCUUACCAAGGCGACGAUCAGUAGCCGACCUGAGAGGGUGACCGGCCACAUUGGGACUGAGACACGGCCCAAACUCCUACGGGAGGCAGCAGUGGGGAAUAUUGCACAAUGGGGGAAACCCUGAUGCAGCGACGCCGCGUGAGCGAAGAAGUAUUUCGGUAUGUAAAGCUCUAUCAGCAGGGAAGAAAAUGACGGUACCUGACUAAGAAGCACCGGCUAAAUACGUGCCAGCAGCCGCGGUAAUACGUAUGGUGCAAGCGUUGCCCGGAUUUACUGGGUGUAAAGGGAGCGUAGACGGAUGGGCAAGUCUGAUGUGAAAACCCGGGGCUCAACCCCGGGACUGCAUUGGAAACUGUUCAUCUAGAGUGCUGGAGAGGUAAGUGGAAUUCCUAGUGUAGCGGUGAAAUGCGUAGAUAUUAGGAGGAACACCAGUGGCGAAGGCGGCUUACUGGACAGUAACUGACGUUGAGGCUCGAAAGCGUGGGGAGCAAACAGGAUUAGAUACCCUGGUAGUCCACGCCGUANACGAUGACUACUAGNUGUCGGGUGGCAAAGCCAUUCGGUGCCGCAGCAAACGCAAUAAGUAGUCCACCUGGGGAGUACGUUCGC